rnacentral:misc_RNA from 1 species
GGACUUUUCUGCUGUAUGAAGAGAGAGAGAAAAUUAGAAAGAAAGAUGGCAAUGAAUGCUAUGUCAGAUGAUUAGAUGACUUUUAACUUUUUUCAAGUAUUUUGUUCUUGCAUAUUGUGAUACAUGUAGUUUUCAAACUUUUUGUUGAUAUCCAUGAAUAUCAAAUGAAUGAGUAUUUAUAUCACGUACACCCCAAAUUCCCCUUGUUAUAUUCAUUAUAGAAGGGUAUAGGUAUUCUCCACAGUCUAUAAUGAAAAUAUCAGUUGGAACGAAACAGGACAGUGCUUCUCAUCUUUCCUCCAACUUUUGACAUUUCAUUCAGCAAGAUUGUAGAUAUUUAGUUGUGUUUAUUUUUAUUUAUUAUUAUCUUUUCAUGAAAUACAUUAAUUCAAUAACAUGAAGAAUCAUUUUGAAUCAAAAGACAAUCAGUAAUAUAAACAGCAAUAUAUUCCUGGAUGAAGUCGGCUCUGUUUAUAUUGGACAUAGUUGUCAUUUUGUGUACACUUUAUUUUAUGAUAGGCAAGAUACAGAGAAAACAACCUUUUACCAAUAUUUUUUGUAGCAUUUUAGGAUUUCACCAUGAUACAAGCUUUCCUAAAUAAUAUUCCUUUUGACUUUUCUUAGGUUUGAAAUGUCUGCUCAAUAGUUGUUACGAGAAAAAAUCUUGGUAUUCACCGGAUCAUUUUGAAUUAAUAUUAAGUAAGUUUCCUCCCCUCUAGUCAUACAUGUAUAUGAUUUCAUCUUCUAAAAUGCAAAAAAUUGUUUUGUUAAUUUUGAAAAUAUGAUUUCUAUGACUAAAUGUGCAAUGUAUGUGUUCGACAUUUAAGUCCACUUCUGGAUUUGGAUUGAUUGUUUCUUCAUUAAAGAGUCGAGAGAAGCAGUUAUUUCUGCACUUAAAUAUGUCAUCUUUAAGAAUGAAUAUCCAAGUUUUAUUUUCUGAGAUAAAUUCACCAUUAGUCCACUUGAAAGUAGUAUUAAUUUACUUUAUACAAGAUUUCCUUUUUUUUUUUUUUUUUUUUUUCUCGUGAUUAAAUGGUGAGAAUUGUUGUAGACAAGAAAGGUGUAUUAGCAUGAUGUGUACCUAUUGGAAAAAUUGAUGCUUGAUUAUUAAAAUUUUGUUUUGAU